AGAGGGAUAUCUGGGUCAAAUAGUGGGUUCAUUCCCAAUUUUUAAAGAAAUCUCCAUACUGCUUUCCAUAUUGGCUACACCAAUUUGCAGUCCCACCAGAAGU
rnacentral:pre_miRNA from 1 species